GUACACAAAAAUAUUUUCCUUGUAGAAAAUAGUUUUCCAGACACUUAGCCUUCUGAAGUGCUCAUCUCUUGCUUAAAUGAUAGUCUAUUUAGUAGUUUAAAAUAAAAAUAAUCACUCCCUAUGAUCUAGUUAAUGUAAUUAUCCAGUCACUGUAACUAAUCUCUUGAAGGGACUUUUGUGAUAAAGAGCCAAGUUCAGAAGCAUAGCGUGUACCGAAAAUGAAGACUCUCCUAUCUACUGCUACAGAUCCUGUUGAAGAAAGAGCUUACCCCUUUCCCCCGGAAAACUUGCAAUCCUGUAGUUCCCAUAUGUGUGGCAUAUGUCAGUUAUGAAAUUAUUAUAAUUCAGCCUUCAAACUACUACUGAUCAACUAAAGGAAAGCUAAUAAGUGUUCACUCAUCUUAAACAUCCUCAGUUGAAAUCCGUAUGCUCCGCUAGCCCUGCUGCUUCUAAUCAUUCAUUUCCCUGGAGAGCUGGCUUGGGAAAGGCAACUUAUUCCCAGAGGACAGUAGAGCAGAAGUGCAGAGCUCUAGUCCACAGCCUUCCUCCCCAGGACAUGUGAUUC
ensembl:lncRNA WDR7-OT1 WDR7 overlapping transcript 1